UACAGCUGUACUUAGAUGAAAAACAGAGACCAUAAAAAUAUUCUUGAUAAUUUUACUGAUAAACUAGCCCAAAUUUUUCCCCCCCCAAACAAAUCCACAUUCUGCUUUCUAUAUAAACUUUCCCCAAGCCUCAGUCUUCAUCCACCAAAGCUCAAGAAACUGUUUAAAUCAUCUUCUAUAACUAUGGCUCAUCACUCCCUUUUCCUUGUCUUUCUCGUUGUCGUAUCAUCAAUCAGCAGCCAUGGAGUUCAAGCCAUGGCUCGCCAUCUUUUGGACGUAACUUUGUCAGAUCUGCCGAAGCCUGAUCUCCCCAUUGGUCUCCCAAAACCCGAGCUACCAACACUGCCACAGCCUGGAUUGCCCCCAUUGCCUAUGCCCAAUCUUCCACUACCAGAACUUCCAAAACCUCAGCUGCCAACUUUGUCCAAAAUGGAGUUGCCAGUACCUUUGCCAGAACUUCCCAAGCCUCAGCUGCCUCUGCCAGAGUUGCCAGUACCGUUGCCACCUCUGCCAAGCCCUUAAGUACUAAAGUUCCUUCAAUGAAGGAGAGUACUACAUGCUAUCCAGAAUGACUCAUUUGUAUCAUUAUUGUCGUAUUUGUUAACCUCGUCUUUUUAAUGUUGCUAAACUUUUGUAUGUAACCCUUUUGUCAGUAAGUCAAUUGCUUGUGUCAGUUAACAUUCCUAAAUUCCUUCUGUUAAUGAUUGCUCAACUCCAUACUACUUCUAUCCUCUACUAGCACGACUGCAAGGUUAAAAAAUAGCAGAAUGUAUUUUACCAACCACCGAGGAAUUUCAUUUUCAAUUAGCUUUGA